AGCAACUCAAACCAAGCAGCCUGCACGAUUAGGUGGCUUUCAGUAGCUGGUUCCAAAGCGCGUUCGCAGGUGCUCUGCGCCAACGCUGGCCAUUCUUCCCUGGAACUGCUGGCUGCUUUCCUCCCUCCUGUUACGUGGCAGAGUUCCAGGGAGCCUCCACGCUUGACCAGACAUCUCCUUCGUGAUGUCUCCUUUUCCACAGUUUCUUGGGUACUCUUGUGCAUUUAGACCUCCAAGGUGAUUUUCAAAUCAACUUUCAAGGCAUAGAGCUCUCUAUGUGUGGAAAUGGGACCCCCUCCAGGAGACGGGACCCUCCAGGAGACGUUACUCGGAGGAGAGCAGCGCUGUAACAUUCAGCUGUGUACAUGAGGCAGGAGGGAGCAACAGAGCCCUCCUGCAGCUGCUCAUAUCUGCAGACGUACUCUUCAGGGAGGACACCUGAGCCAAC
rnacentral:lncRNA from 1 species